CUUGGCUGCUAAUAGCACUUUUCCCCCUUCUUUGUGUGGCUGAUAGCAGCUAUUUAAAACGGCAACAGCGAAUCAGACGAGUCUUCCUUACUGCAAGAUCCCUUCUUCUGUUCAAAUCAUCUUCAAGAUCGAAUACAAUUGGUCCGCUGUCUGCUGCAAAGGUUAUGACUGUGGGCGCAAAUUAUUUUCUCGAAAACCAGAACACGGGCCAAUGGUCAGGGGAGGUCACUGCCUCUCUCUGUGUGCCAGUAACAGACACAGACGGUUAACAACCGGGCACAGCAUCAAAGAGCCAAGCGGCUGGAGAUGGAGAGAAAACACCCUGGUACACAGCCUCACCUCGCCUUUCCUCGCCUCUCAUCUCUGCGCUCGUGUGAGAGAUGAUCAAAUCAUCAUAUGGAAAAAUCCAAUGUGAUCUAAGCAAGAGGCAGAAAGGUCACAGGGAGUCAGUAAAAUGGAUGAAGGCUAAUGAUUAUCUCAACCUUUAUCUAAUCAAUAAUCAUUUAUCCCACAAUAUUAUGGACACUAUAUCCCAUUUUCCAUUAACCCAGGCAGGAUGACAGAUGCUGUAUUGUUUCCUAAGGCAGCUUUAUGGCAGGGUAUGUCUGAAAGGCAGUUUUAAGGUGUGCUCUCAACUGCUCUCAACCUGUUAAGACACUCGUACGUAGUCUGGACUUAGGCGAUAAUACAUUUUUUGAAAUAUUGAGUGUUUGAAACUAUGCGACCGGGAUGGUAUAGAAUCAUAAUCGAGCAAUUUCCAAAUGGCCUACAGUUUUAGCUCCAUCAAACAGUAAAUGUGGGUUUAAUGAAAUAUCAUCACAUUACACAAAUAGUUUUUUUUUUUGGGUGGGAAAAUAAUACCUUAGAUCAAUUGUUAAAGCUGAAAACAAAUUUAUGUUCUUUGGUUUCUUAUUGUCUUACGAUCACGAAAACACACAUCUUCCUCUAUUAGCCUUGGUCUCUAAGGAGUUUGUAUUUGCUACCGUUAUGCUGCAGUAAUUUGUACCGUUAUGGUCCAUUUGGAGUGACCCCAUCCUCUGUGACUGGGAGUGUGUCUCCUGUGUCUGUAUGCUCAGUGAUGCCAUCUUCAUCCUAACCUUAUUGCUUUUAAUGACUCCCUCUUUCCUUUCAUGAAUUCUUUAUCGAUUCCUUCUGACGUCUGGUGAAUUAAUUUUCAAUUACUUCAACAACAAACAACAAAAAAUCCCCCCCCCCCCACACCACACUAAUGUCUGGCUCCACCUAUACGUACGAGUGUGUAUAAGCGUGUGUGUGUGUGUGUGUGUGUGUGUACAACAACGUGGCGUGGUGAUGUUCAUACUUCCCUUCCACCGUUCUUCUUCUCUCAAUCCAUUCAGCAAGGGACUGGGGGAGAAAUAUUCAUCUUCAAAGUCCACACCCAAACACUCAUGCACACACAGACACACACACAC